GAUGAACGCUGGCGGCGUGCCUAAUACAUGCAAGUCGAGCGAACAGACGAGGAGCUUGCUCCUCUGACGUUAGCGGCGGACGGGUGAGUAACACGUGGAUAACCUACCUAUAAGACUGGGAUAACUUCGGGAAACCGGAGCUAAUACCGGAUAACAUGUUGAACCGCAUGGUUCAACAGUGAAAGACGGUUUUGCUGUCACUUAUAGAUGGAUCCGCGUCGCAUUAGCUAGUUGGUAAGGUAACGGCUUACCAAGGCAACGAUGCGUAGCCGACCUGAGAGGGUGAUCGGACACACUGGAACUGAGACACGGUCCAGACUCCUACGGGAGGCAGCAGUAGGGAAUCUUCCGCAAUGGGCGAAAGCCUGACGGAGCAACGCCGCGUGAGUGAAGAAGGUCUUCGGAUCGUAAAACUCUGUUAUUAGGGAAGAACAAAUGUGUAAGUAACUAUGCACGUCUUGACGGUACCUAAUCAGAAAGCCACGGCUAACUACGUG
rnacentral:rRNA from 1 species